rnacentral:misc_RNA from 1 species
GAUGAAGAACGUAGCGAAAUGCGAUAAGUAAUGCGAAUUGCAGAAUUUCCGUGAGUCAUCGAAUCUUUGAACGCACAUUGCGCCCACUGGUAUUCCAAAGGGCAUGCCUGUUCGAGCGUCAUUUGUACCCUCAAGCUUUGCUUGGUGUUGGGCGUCUUGUCUCUAGCUUUGCUGGAGACUCGCCUUAAAGUAAUUGGCAGCCGGCCUACUGGUUUCGGAGCGCAGCACAAGUCGCACUCUCUAUCAGCAAAGGUCUAGCAUCCAUUAAGCCUUUUUUUCAACUUUUGACCUCGGAUCAGGUAGGGAUACCCGCUGAACUUAAGCAUAUCAAUAAGCGGAGGA